rnacentral:rRNA from 1 species
UGGGGAAUCUUCCGCAAUGGACGAAAGUCUGACGGAGCAACGCCGCGUGAGUGAAGACGGCCUUCGGGUUGUAAAGCUCUGUGAUCCGGGACGAAAGAGCCUGAGGUAAAUAGCCUAAGGAAGUGACGGUACCGGAAAAGCAAGCCACGGCUAACUACGUGCCAGCAGCCGCGGUAAUACGUAGGUGGCAAGCGUUGUCCGGAAUUAUUGGGCGUAAAGCGCGCGCAGGCGGCUUACUAAGUCCAGCUUAAAAGUGCGGGGCUUAACCCCGUGAUGGGAUGGAAACUGGAAAGCUGGAGUAUCGGAGCGGAAGGUGGAAUUCCUAGUGUAGCGGUGAAAUGCGUAGAGAUUAGGAAGAACACCGGUGGCGAAGGCGACUUUCUGGACGAAAACUGACGCUGAGGCGCGAAAGCGUGGGGAGCAAACAGG